AACGAACGCUGGCGGCAUGCCUAACACAUGCAAGUCGAACGAGACCUCCGGGACUAGUGGCGCACGGGUGCGUAACGUGUGGGAACCUGCCCUUAGGCUCGGAAUAACACUCCGAAAGGGGUGCUAACACCGGAUAAUGUCUUCGGAUCAAAGAUUUAUCGUCUUUGGAUGGGCCGGCGUUGGAUUAGCCAGUUGGUAGGGUAAAAGCCUACCAAGGAGAAGAUCCAUAGCUGGUCAGAGAGGAUGGUCAGCCACACUGGGACGGAGACACGGCCCAGACUCCUACAGGAGGCAGCAGUGGGGAAUAUUGGACAAUGGGCGAAAGCCUGAUCCAGCACUGCCGCGUGAGUGAUGAAGGCCUUAGAGUUGUAAAGCUCUUUUACCCGGGAUGAUAAUGACAGUACCGAAAGAAUAAGCUCCGGCUAACUCCGUG
rnacentral:rRNA from 1 species